GUAGGUGGCAAGCGUUGUCCGGAAUUAUUGGGCGUAAAGCGCGCGCAGGCGGUUCUUUAAGUCUGAUGUGAAAGCCCACGGGCUCAACCGUGGAGGGUCAUUGGAAACUGGAGAACUUGAGUACAGAAGAGGAAAGCGGAAUUCCACGUGUAGCGGUGAAAUGCGUAGAGAUGUGGAGGAACACCAGUGGCGAAGGCGGCUUUCUGGUCUGUAACUGACGCUGAGGCGCGAAAGCGGGGGAGCAAACAGGAUUAGAUACCCUGGUAGUCCACGCCGUAAACGAUGAGUGCUAAGUGUUAGGGGGUUUCCGCCCCUUAGUGCUGCAGCUAACGCAUUAAGCACUCCGCCUGGGGAGUACGGCCGCAAAGGCUG
rnacentral:rRNA from 1 species